rnacentral:rRNA from 1 species
GUGGGGGAUAUUGCACAAUGGGCGAAAGCCUGAUGCAGCGACGCCGCGUGAGUGAAGAAGUAUUUCGGUAUGUAAAGCUCUAUCAGCAGGGAAGAAAAUGACGGUACCUGACUAAGAAGCCCCGGCUAACUACGUGCCAGCAGCCGCGGUAAUACGUAGGGGGCAAGCGUUAUCCGGAUUUACUGGGUGUAAAGGGAGCGUAGACGGCAAGGCAAGUCUGAUGUGAAAGGUGUGGGCUCAACUCACAAACUGCAUUGGAAACUGUUCUGCUAGAGUGCAGGAGAGGUAAGCGGAAUUCCUAGUGUAGCGGUGAAAUGCAUAGAUAUUAGGAGGAACACCGGCGGCGAAGGCGGCUUACUGGACUGUAACUGACGUUGAGGCUCGAAAGCGUGGGUAGCAAACAGG